rnacentral:rRNA from 1 species
UCUUGGUCAUUUAGAGGAAGUAAAAGUCGUAACAAGGUUUCCGUAGGUGAACCUGCGGAAGGAUCAUUAAAGAAAUUUAAUAAUUUUGAAAAUGGAUUUUUUUGUUUUGGCGAGAGCAUGAGAGCUUUUACUGGGCAAGAAGACAAGAGAUGGAGAGUCCAGCCGGGCCUGCGCUUAAGUGCGCGGUCUUGCUAGGCUUGUAAGUUUCUUUCUUGCUAUUCCAAACGGUGAGAGACUUCUGUGCUUUUGUUAUAGGACAAUUAAAACCGUUUCAAUACAACACACUGUGGAGUUUUCAUAUCUUUGCAACUCUUUCUUUGGGCAUUCGAGCAAUCGGGGCCCAGAGGUAACAAACACAAACAAUUUUAUCUAUUCAUUAAAUUUUUGUCAAAAACAAGAAUUUUCGUAACUGGAAAUUUUAAAAUAUUAAAAACUUUCAACAACGGAUCUCUUGGUUCUCGCAUCGAUGAAGAACGCAGCGAAAUGCGAUACGUAAUGUGAAUUGCAGAAUUCCGUGAAUCAUCGAAUCUUUGAACGCACAUUGCGCCCCUUGGUAUUCCAGGGGGCAUGCCUGUUUGAGCGUCAUUUCCUUCUCAAACAUUCUGUUUGGUAGUGAGUGAUACUCUUUGGAGUUAACUUAAAAUUGCUGGCCUUUUCAUUGGAUGUUUUUUUUCCAAAGAGAGGUUUCUCUGCGUGCUUGAGGUAUAAUGCAAGUACGGUCGUUUUAGGUUUUACCAACUGCGGCUAAUCUUUUUUUAUACUGAGCGUAUUGGAACGUUAUCGAUAAGAAGAGAGCGUCUAGGCGAACAAUGUUCUUAAAGUUUGACCUCAAAUCAGGUAGGAGUACCCGCUGAACUUAAGCAUAUCAAUAAGCGGAG